AAACACAACAACCAGAAGGCCCCUGUAAUCCCGUUGGUACACAACCCAACACUGAAAAUGCAGCAAUUACAAGGCCUGAAGGUCGUGAUACUGCAAAAAAAAGAAGGUUCAAGGAAGACACUGCAUCAUCUAGUGCUGCUGUAGAAGUGCUGCAGCAGAUGCAAGAGAGGAAUGAAAAAACAGAAGAGAAGCAAGAUGAACAGAUGCAAGAGAUCCUGACAUUGAAGGGGAAUAAAAUGAGGCUUACUGAGAAGAUGUUUGACUUGCAGAAGCAUGAAAUGGAAGUUAAGAACAAGUUGAAGGAGGAGCAGCUCAGUCUUACCAAGCAGGACAUAGAAGCAAGGGCCAAACAAAGUGAGGCACAACUGCUUACUGCUGAAUUGGGCAUCAUGGGAGCAGACUUAGAUAAACUUUCUCCCAGUGUGAGAGC
rnacentral:misc_RNA from 1 species